GAUGGUACAGAAACACCAGAGGCUUGACUCGUUGAGUCGGGUCGCUACAAACAACAACAGGACGAACAACAACAACAACAAUAGCAAGAACAACAACAACAACAACAACAACAACAACAACAACAACAACAACAACUACAACAACUACAACAACAAGAAUGAAGGUGAUGAAAACAACGGCGACGACAAAAACAACAACGAUGACAACAACAAAAACAAC
rnacentral:lncRNA from 1 species